CCCUUCAGAGGGGGACAACAGUUGGAAAUGACUGCUAAUACCGCAUACGAUUCAAUCUCGGCAUCGAGGAUGGAUGAAAGGUGGCCUCUAUUUAUAAGCUAUCACUGAAGGAGGGGAUUGCGUCUGAUUAGCUAGUUGGAGGGGUAACGGCCCACCAAGGCAAUGAUCAGUAGCCGGUCUGAGAGGAUGAACGGCCACAUUGGGACUGAGACACGGCCCAG
rnacentral:rRNA from 1 species